rnacentral:ncRNA from 1 species
CACCACGCCUGCCACGAUGGUUCCCCGGGCCCGCCCGGGGAGGAAAACAGGGAACGCGGUUCAAACCCGUGGCUGCCCCCGCAACUGUAAGCGGUGAGCGUUCUUGCAAUGUGCCACUGGCCGGAUCGGCCGGGAAGGCGCGAGAGCGCAUCGACCCGCGAGCCAGGAGACCUGCCAUCGGAGAGGUGAAACU